AGGACGAACGCUGGCGGCGCGCUUAACACAUGCAAGUCGAGCGAGAACCUGGCCUUCGGGCCUGGGGAAAGCGGCGAACGGGUGAGUAACACGUGGGUAACCCACCCUUGGUACCGGGAUAGCCCGAGGAAACUCGGAUUAAUACCGGAUGGCCCAACAGCUCUUCGGGGCGGUUGGAAAAGGUAGCUUCGGCCUCCGACCAAGGACGGGCCCGCGGCGGAUUAGCUUGUUGGUGAGGUAACGGCUCACCAAGGCGACGAUCCGUAGCUGGUCUGAGAGGACGAUCAGCCACACUGGGACUGAGACACGGCCCAGACUCCUACGGGAGGCAGCAGUGGGGAAUCUUGCGCAAUGGGCGAAAGCCUGACGCAGCAACGCCGCGUGCGGGAUGAAGGCCUUCGGGUUGUAAAGCCCUUUCGGCGGGGAAGAUAAUGACGGUACCCGCAGAAGAAGCCCCGGCUAACUUCGUGCCAGCAGCCGC
rnacentral:rRNA from 1 species